rnacentral:rRNA from 1 species
CCCUUAGAUGUCCGGGGCUGCACGCGCGCUACACUGAAGGAAUCAGCGUGCUAAAACCAUUGUCGAAAGGCAUUGGUAAACCCAUUAAAAUCCUACGUGAUUGGGAUCGGGAAUUGCAAUUAUUUCCCUUGAACGAGGAAUUCCCAGUAAGUGUGGGUCAUAAGCUCGCGUUGAUUACGUCCCUGCCCUUUGUACACACCGCCCGUCGCUGCCCGGGACUGAGCCGUUUCGAGAAAAGCGGGGACUGCUGCUGUCGGGGCUUUCGGGCCUUGGCUUCGGUGGAAACCGCUUUAAUCGCAGUGGCUUGAACCGGGCAAAAAUCGUAACA